rnacentral:rRNA from 1 species
AUUGAACGCUGGCGGCAGGCUUAACACAUGCAAGUCGAACGAGUGGCGGACGGGUGAGUAAUGCUUGGGAAUCUAGCUUAUGGAGGGGGAUAACUACGGGAAACUGUAGCUAAUACCGCGUACCAUAGGAUGAGCCCAAGAGUGAUUAGGUAGUUGGUGAGGUAAAGGCUCACCAAGCCGACGAUCUCUAGCUGGUCUGAGAGGAUGACCAGGCGCACUGGGACUGAGACAAUGCCCAGACUCCCACGGGAGGCAGCAGUGGGGAAUAUUACGCAAAGGGGGCAACCUGACGCAGCCAUGCAGCGUUAAUGAAGAAGGCCUUCGGGUUGUAAAGUUCUUUCGGUAGCGAGGCGUUAACGACAGAAGAAGCACCGGCUAACUCCGUGCCAGCAGCCGCGGUAAUAC